CCUACGGGAGGCAGCAGUGGGGAAUAUUGCACAAUGGGCGAAAGCCUGAUGCAGCGACGCCGCGUGGGGGAUGACGGCCUUCGGGUUGUAAACCUCUUUCAGUAGGGAAGAAGCGAAAGUGACGGUACCUGCAGAAGAAGCGCCGGCUAACUACGUGCCAGCAGCCGCGGUAAUACGUAGGGCGCAAGCGUUGUCCGGAAUUAUUGGGCGUAAAGAGCUUGUAGGUGGCUUGUCGCGUCUGCCGUGAAAACCCGAGGCUCAACCUCGGGCGUGCGGUGGGUACGGGCAGGCUAGAGUGUGGUAGGGGAGACUGGAACUCCUGGUGUAGCGGUGAAAUGCGCAGAUAUCAGGAAGAACACCGAUGGCGAAGGCAGGUCUCUGGGCCAUUACUGACACUGAGAAGCGAAAGCAUGGGGAGCGAACAGGAUUAGAACCCGUGUAGUC
rnacentral:rRNA from 1 species